CCUACGGGAGGCAGCAGUGAGGAAUAUUGGUCAAUGGACGAGAGUCUGAACCAGCCAAGUAGCGUGAAGGAUGACUGCCCUAUGGGUUGUAAACUUCUUUUAUAUGGGAAUAAAACGUUCCACGUGUGGGAUUUUGUAUGUACCAUAUGAAUAAGGAUCAGCUAACUCCGUGCCAGCAGCCGCGGUAAUACGGAGGAUCCGAGCGUUAUCCGGAUUUAUUGGGUUUAAAGGGAGCGUAGGUGGAUUGUUAAGUCAGCUGUGAAAGUUUGCGGCUCAACCGUAAAAUUGCAGUUGAAACUGGCAGUCUUGAGUACAGUAGAGGUGGGCGGAAUUCGUGGUGUAGCGGUGAAAUGCUUAGAUAUCACGAAGAACUCCGAUUGCGAAGGCAGUUCACUGGACUGCAACUGACACUGAGGCUCGAAAGUGUGGGUAUCAAACAGGAUUAGAUACCCUGGUAGUC
rnacentral:rRNA from 1 species